rnacentral:rRNA from 1 species
UGGGGAAUAUUGCGCAAUGGGGGAAACCCUGACGCAGCAACGCCGCGUGAAGGAUGAAGGUUUUCGGAUUGUAAACUUCUUUGACGAGGGACGAAAGAAAUGACGGUACCUCGAAAACAAGCUCCGGCUAACUACGUGCCAGCAGCCGCGGUAAUACGUAGGGAGCGAGCGUUGUCCGGAUUUACUGGGUGUAAAGGGCGAGUAGGCGGGAUUGCAAGUCAGAUGUGAAAACUAUCGGCUUAACUGAUAGACUGCAUUUGAAACUGUGAUUCUUGAGUGAUGGAGAGGCAGGCGGAAUUCCUAGUGUAGCGGUGAAAUGCGUAGAUAUUAGGAGGAACACCAGUGGCGAAGGCGGCCUGCUGGACAUUAACUGACGCUGAGGCGCGAAAGUGUGGGGAGCAAACA